GACGAACGCUGGCGGCGUGCCUAAUACAUGCAAGUUGAGCGAUGAAGAUUGGUUUUUGCACCAAUUUGAAGAGCAGCGAACGGGUGAGUAACGCGUGGGGAAUCUGCCUUUGAGCGGGGGACAACAUUUGGAAACGAAUGCUAAUACCGCAUAACAACUUUAAACAUAAGUUUUAAGUUUGAAAGAUGCAAUUGCAUCACUCAAAGAUGAUCCCGCGUUGUAUUAGCUAGUUGGUGAGGUAAAGGCUCACCAAGGCGAUGAUACAUAGCCGACCUGAGAGGGUGGUCGGCCACAUUGGGACUGGGACACGGCCCAAACUCCUACGGGAGGCAGCAGUAGGGAAUCUUCGGCAAUGGACGAAAGUCUGACCGAGCAACGCCGCGUGAGUGGAGGAGGUUUUCGGAUCGUAAAACUCUGUUGGUAGAGAAGAACGUUGGUGAGAGUGGAAAGCUCAUCAAGUGACGGUAACUACCCAGAAAGGGACGGCUAACUACGUG
rnacentral:rRNA from 1 species